AGGAAGAAGAAGGAAGAAAAUAGCAAAGCAAACACAAAGAUGUAACGAGGUUCGGCUACAAAUAGCCUACGUCCUCCACCGCUCCAAAUCUCAAUAAGGAUGAACUGAUUACAGAGAUAGCACACACCCGAACGAUCACAAGCGAUCGAUCUACAAGAGAUUCACACAGAAUUCCCUUUGCACAAGAAGUAGGAUCCCAAUCCUCUUCUUCUCUAGAACCCUAGCCUCACAAACAAGAGUNN
rnacentral:lncRNA from 1 species